rnacentral:rRNA from 1 species
UACGGAGGGUGCAAGCGUUGUUCGGAAUUAUUGGGCGUAAAGCGCGUGUAGGCGGCCUGACAAGUCAGAGGUGAAAGGCUACGGCUUAACCGUAGUAAGCCUUUGAAACUGGUUGGCUAGAGUGCAGGAGAGGGUAGUGGAAUUCCAUGUGUAGCGGUAAAAUGCGUAGAUAUAUGGAGGAACACCGGUGGCGAAGGCGGCUACCUGGACCGAUACUGACGCUGAGACGCGAAAGCGUGGGGAGCAAACCGG